rnacentral:rRNA from 1 species
GACGAACGCUGGCGGCGUGCUUAACACAUGCAAGUCGAACGGUAAGGCCCUUCGGGGUACACGAGUGGCGAACGGGUGAGUAACACGUGGGUGAUCUGCCCUGCACUUCGGGAUAAGCCUGGGAAACUGGGUCUAAUACCGGAUAGGACUCCUGGCUUCAUGGUUGGGGGUGGAAAGCUUUUGCGGUGUGGGAUGGGCCCGCGGCCUAUCAGCCUGUUGGUGGGGUAAUGGCCUACCAAGGCGACGACGGGUAGCCGGCCUGAGAGGGUGACCGGUCACACUGGGACAGAGAUACGGCCCAGACUCCUACGGGAGGCAGCAGUGGGGAAUAUUGCACAAUGGGCGCAAGCCUGAUGCAGCGACGCCGCGUGAGGGAUGACGGCCUUCGGGUUGUAAACCUCUUUCAGCUACGACGAAGCGCAAGUGACGGUAGUAGCAGAAGAAGGACCGGCCAACUACGUGCCAGCCGCCGCUGUAA